rnacentral:rRNA from 1 species
AUGAACGCUGGCGGCGUGCCUAAUACAUGCAAGUCGAGCGAACAGACGAGGAGCUUGCUCCUCUGACGUUAGCGGCGGACGGGAGAGUAACACGUGGAUAACCUACCUAUAAGACUGGGAUAACUUCGGGAAACCGGAGCUAAUACCGGAUAAUAUAUUGAACCGCAUGGUUCAAUAGUGAAAGACGGUUUUGCUGUCACUUAUAGAUGGAUCCGCGCCGCAUUAGCUAGUUGGUAAGGUAGCGGCUUACCAAGGCAACGAUGCGUAGCCGACCUGAGAGGGUGAUCGGCCACACUGGAACUGAGACACGGUCCAGACUCCUACGGGAGGCAGCAGUAGGGAAUCUUCCGCAAUGGGCGAAAGCCUGACGGAGCAACGCCGCGUGAGUGAUGAAGGUCUUCGGAUCGUAAAACUCUGUUAUUAGGGAAGAACAAAUGUGUAAGUAACUAUGCACGUCUUGACGGUACCUAAUCAGAAAGCCACGGCUAACUACGUG